CAGUCGCCACGGGAAUACGUAGGUGGCAAGCGUUGUCCGGAAUUAUUGGGCGUAAAGCGCGCGCAGGUGGUUUAAUAAGUCUGAUGUGAAAGCCCACGGCUCAACCGUGGAGGGUCAUUGGAAACUGUUAAACUUGAGUGCAGGAGAGAAAAGUGGAAUUCCUAGUGUAGCGGUGAAAUGCGUAGAGAUUAGGAGGAACACCAGUGGCGAAGGCGGCUUUUUGGCCUGUAACUGACACUGAGGCGCGAAAGCGUGGGGAGCAAACAGGAUUAGAUACCCGCGUAGUCCCUGUCUCUUAUAC
rnacentral:rRNA from 1 species